rnacentral:rRNA from 1 species
CCUACGGGAGGCUGCAGUAGGGAAUCUUCCACAAUGGACGAAAGUCUGAUGGAGCAACGCCGCGUGAGUGAAGAAGGGUUUCGGCUCGUAAAGCCCUGUUGGUAGUGAAGUAAGAUAGAGGUAGUAACUGGCUUUUAUUUGACGGUAAUUACUUAGAAAGUCACGGCUAACUACGUGCCAGCAGCCGCGGUAAUACGUAGGUGGCAAGCGUUGUCCGGAUUUAUUGGGCGUAAAGCGAGUGCAGGCGGUUCAAUAAGUCUGAUGUGAAAGCCUUCGGCUCAACCGGAGAAUUGCAUCAGAAACUGUUGAACUUGAGUGCAGAAGAGGAGGGUGGAACUCCAGGUGUAGCGGUGGAAUGCGUAGAUAUAUGGAAGAACACCAGUGGCGAAGGCGGCUCUCUGAUCUGCAACUGACGCUGAGGCUCGAAAGCAUGGGUAGCGAACAGGAUUAGAUACCCUAGUAGUC